rnacentral:rRNA from 1 species
UACAGAGGGUGCAAGCGUUAAUCGGAAUUACUGGGCGUAAAGCGUGCGUAGACGGUUACAUAAGUCGGGUGUGAAAGCCCCCGGGCUCAACCUGGGAAUUGCAUUCGAGACUGCGUAGCUAGGGUGCGGAAGAGGGAAGCGGAAUUUCCGGUGUAGCGGUGAAAUGCGUAGAUAUCGGGAGGAACACCAGUGGCGAAGGCGACUUCCUGGCCUGUUCUUGACGCUGAGGCGCGAAAGCUAGGGUAGCAAACGGG